rnacentral:misc_RNA from 1 species
GAUGAAGAACGCAGCGAAAUGCGAUAAGUAAUGUGAAUUGCAGAAUCCAGUGAAUCAUCGAAUCUUUGAACGCACAUUGCGCCCGCCAGCAUUCUGGCGGGCAUGCCUGUUCGAGCGUCAUUUCAACCCUCGACCUCCCUUUGGGGAAGUCGGCGUUGGGGACCGGCAGCACACCGCCGGCCCUGAAAUGGAGUGGCGGCCCGUCCGCGGCGACUUCUGCGUAGUAAACCAACUCGCACCGGAACCCCGACGUGGCCACGCCGUAAAACACCCAACUUCUGAACGUUGACCUCGAAUCAGGUAGGACUACCCGCUGAACUUAAGCAUAUCAAUAAGCGAGGA